rnacentral:rRNA from 1 species
UGGCGGACGGGUGAGUAACGCGUGGGUAACCUGCCUCAUACAGGGGGAUAACAGUUAGAAAUGACUGCUAAUACCGCAUAAGACCACGGAGCCGCAUGGCUCAGUGGGAAAAACUCCGGUGGUAUGAGAUGGACCCGCGUCUGAUUAGGUAGUUGGUGGGGUAACGGCCUACCAAGCCAACGAUCAGUAGCCGACCUGAGAGGGUGACCGGCCACAUUGGGACUGAGACACGGCCCAG